rnacentral:rRNA from 1 species
AGAUGGCGACCGGCGCACGGGUGAGUAAUACGUAUCCAACCUGCCGAUAACUCGGGGAUAGCCUUUCGAAAGAAAGAUUAAUACCCGAUGGUAUAAUCAGACCGCGUGGUCUUGUUAUUAAAGAAUUUCGGUUAUCGAUGGGGAUGCGUUCCAUUAGGCAGUUGGUGAGGUAACGGCUCACCAAACCUUCGAUGGAUAGGGGUUCUGAGAGGAAGGUCCCCCACAUUGGAACUGAGACACGGUCCAA